rnacentral:lncRNA from 1 species
UUGGAUUUAUAAAGGAAAGGUUUAUUUUUAUCUGUUAUAAGGUGAUUACAAACUUCUCUAAAAAAAAAAGAAAAGCAAAGAUGACUUAAAAAUAUCGAUAUACAUAUUAUCUAAAAAGCAAAACAGAAAAAAAAACCUGCCAAGUACAAACAGAGAUUCAUAUCAUCAAACAUUUAUACACAAAGCUUGUAUACUGCAAGACUGAAUUACAUGCCAAAAAUCUUGUUCAAAUACAAAUAUUCCUUUUCGGAACAGUCUCUUGUGGAUUUUUUUUAAUUUAAAAAAAGCUGAAAAUGUCUUAAAAAUAGCUUUAAAGUUUUAAAAAAGUUCAGAUUAUCCAGACAGAUUUGUGUUUGAAAGGAGGAAAUAGGAAGAUCCCCACUUUCUAAUGUGCUAAUCAUAUAGUCACAGUUGCUAUGAUUUUUUUUAAAGGAACCCACAUUUUUUUAAAGCCAAAUACACAGACGAGAUGUCACAUCUGAUGUAGCAAAACUCUGGAAAGCAUCGGUGGUAACAUUCACAAAGCCACAAUGAAGAACAGCUUCCUACUGAAAAAGGCUUUCCAGGGAGAAUUUGGCCUGGCUGCCUCCAGUACCCAGGGAAGGUCACCUUCUGUAUUUCUUGUGGUUUUCUGCCCUCAGAGUCCUCAAUUCUCUGUCUCUGAUUGGCCCCCAAAUCCUCCAAGAUUUGAGUAUUUUUUAAUUCAUUUUUUCCUUCUGUUUUUGUUUUACUUUUUGUCAGACGCAAAAUUAUUUACAACACCCACACAGAAUCUGAUUCCAAAAUUGAGAUUUCCUAAAAUCUGGUCACAUGCUAAAAGAGAUCUAUGUCAGUUCAGUUUCAUGCUUGCUUUGUGCCUUGGGUCCCCACUUGGGGGUAGGGGGUAGGGGAGCCCUGAAAGCAAAGGUGGUGGGCAUAGGGCCCCCUAGCACUGAAGAGAAUACUCAGAGCAAUACAGUUUACCAGUUUAGAUUUGUUGCUUUAAGUGGGAGAAGCGACUUGGUAGAGUUGAAGGCAAUGAGAUCCCUAGAGGUAGGGAGACUGUGGGACAAGAUGAGGAGCCUGGGACUGGAAUCCAGUGGGAGGAAGAAGGAGCAAAGUUCAAGAAGGGUUAAAGAAAAUUCAAAGAGGUCCCUCAAACAAAGCCAUGGAGCAUCAGAGAAGUGAUCCUAGAGUUUGUGGAGAAAUCUGGCAGUUGUAUAGCUAUUUUUAUGGGCAGUGUCCUUGAAUUAUGGACAGUUCCACACAUAUAGAGCUGUGUAGAUUAUAUUCAGCACCUCAUGUCAAAAUAAAUAAAUAGGAAAGGCUAAGGGGGACUUUUCAGUUAUUACCCUCAAAUAUUACCCUUUUCUUCAAAUGUUUCUAAGGUUUUUUUUAACCACUUACAUUUUUCUUGUCACUGGGGCUGUUAUUUAGACCUUAAAUAUAUUGCUUAUUCCAAUUUCUUCAAAAGCUGAUUAAUCACUUGGGUGCUUUAGUUACAACGACUGGCAGGAUUGUGGAAGUGAGCUCCAGAGGGUGGAAAGUGAAUAAAUCUCAGCUUCAAAGAGAAGCCCAUUUGGCCAGCCACAGAAUCACAACACUUGCCAAGCUGGAGGGACCCUAAAGGAUCAGGAGAGAUCCCCAACAGUAGAUCAGAAUCUACUAGCAGUUUUUGAAAGCUUACCUGUCCUAACAAAUACACUACGCUACCAUCUAGACUUUGUCAGACUUUUCAAUCUGAGAAAUUGCCAGAAGAAUUCUCCUUUCCACAAAUUGAGAAAAAGCUCCCUUAAUUCAACUCCCAUCUUGACAGAUUUGGUAGCUAUGAAGUCUGUUCUGUGAGCUGGAUAGAACUUUACCAUCUUUACCUCAUCUAGAGGGGUAUAACUUCUGAUUCUUCUUCUUCUUCUUUUUUUUGGGGGGGAAUAAAUGACUUGCACAGUCACAUAGCUAGUAAGUGUUAAGUAUCUGCGGCCACAUUUGAACUCAGAUCCUCCUGACUUUAGGGUCAGUGCUUUACUCCCUGAACCAUCUAGUUCUCCCCAAUUCUUCUAAUAGGAGCACUAAUAAUUAUUAAAGUCUGAGCUCUGCUUGAAACUUGGGGAACCUUAAAUGAGUCCCUUCCUCCUUCAUAAAUCUCUUCUAUAAAAAUAUUCUCUGAGAUCCCAUCUAGCUCUUACAUUCCAAGAUCUAAAAGGUUCUUUCAGUUCUAACAUUCUCUAUAUGAUUAUAGGGGGAACCUGUUCUAAGAUUCCUUCUAGCACUAAUACUUUAUGUUCUCAGGUCAUUUUCAGCUCUUGUUUUGUGUUCUUAAAAAGCCUUUCCAAGAUUUUAAGAAAUAUUUACUUGCAAUUUUUUCAAAUAAUUCCAUUUAUCUUAAUCCAAUUUUGAAUAAUAUUUGGUGAUAGCAGAUAUAUUUGCAAAAAUAAUGAGAUAGAGUUGUACUGUUCCAGAGAAACUUCAGAUCAGUACCAAGCAUCAUUACCAUGGGAUCAGAGGUAGAGUGGUGGAGGAAGAAAAAAAAAACCUGGACUAGUAAAUAGGAGACAUGAGACCUAAGUUCUAGGUCUGGGUCUACCACUAACGAUGGAGGAUGUUGGAUGUUAUUCCUCAUCUCUGAACCUCAAGUGUCUCAUCUGUAGAAAGAAGGGUUGGACUAGAUCAUUUUCAAACUCCCUUCCAGCUCUGACAUUCUAUGAUCUUUGGAUCCUCUCAGAAGAAAAAGCUACUCAUUCAUUUGAUGAAGUUCAUUCCAGUUUAGGUUUAUCCCAGGGCCUGUCCUUUGAUUCCAUAGAUUUUUCUUUUCUCUUUUUUUUUUUUUUUGUCCCACCAAUUAUUUUCUUCCUAUUCUUCAAGAUCUCACAAUCUGGGGCAUCUCCGUAGGGAGUUAAAAUGGUAAAGACAGUGAAUUCCUUUGGCUUGAAAAACCAUGAAAAAUGGUAUUUCAAUCGCAACUGAGCCCCUCGCUAUCCAGAGGACCGACAUCUCAUGUACUUGGACAGAAUUGGACCAGACUCAUCAAAAUGCUAAUUAAAAGUUUGACUUCUGUAGAUAAAUGUAUAUAUAAAAGCUGACCAUUAUUACACAUACUAUUCAUGGAGUCUAUACAGACAUAAUUGUCAUAAAGGAGAUCAUGUUUGAUGAUGGGUGAAACACCACGGUUUCUGAAAAUGUCAUCAGCUGGAGUAGCCAACCUUCCAGGUGCCGGCUGAGAGCUUUGUCUAGAAAUCUUUGGUCUAGAAAAAAUGACUGGCCUGAGGAUCUUGAAAGGUGAGAACUUCCUCAAGCCAGUUGCAGAAUGUGCGAAUUUAGGAAGGACUCAGAACACUACCGUUUUUCACCCCAUAUUUCUACUUUCUGACCAGGAUGAUCAAAAGCAGUAGCUUGCCAGCUUUGGGGUUGAAAGGGGGAUAGCAGAAAGGGCCACUUUUGUAGGUGAUUCACCCAUCCCCAAUCAUGAUGAAUGGUUAGUUCACUAAAGUUCCAUACAACAAAUAGGUCACAUUUCUACAAAGAAAACCAGGGUCGGGGUGGGGGAAGACACAUUUACAAUCAUAAAUACCUAGAAAAAUAUAAACAUAGCAGAAUUGUUAAAGAGUUUGGAUUAUAAGUUACAUUUGGCAGAAUAUCAUUGGGGUGGUGGUGGUGGUGAAUUUUUUUUAACGGGUGACAUUUAGAACAGAUAGAAGUAUUUGAGAAGCACUGCCCUCCAACCUCGAGCACCCCUCCAACAGGACAUGUCGCAAACACCUCUCUGUGUCUGGAGUCAAGGAUGGAGGGCAGCUUUGCUUAAUGAGAUCCUGCUUUCAGAGAAUCCAGCCUUAUCUCUAAGCUAGGCUGAAUCCUACUACCAGGGCCAGAGUACCUUAUCCCAGGAAAAACAGAAACAAAAACAAAAACACUUCAUUUCAUACACUUCACUUCAUACAAUGAGGUCAUUGCAUAUGUGUGUGACACUUUAGAAACUUUUUUAUUUUUUGGUAAUAUACUCUGAACUUGGAAGCAAAUGAUUUGAAUGGCACAGUUCAAGUUAGAAAUGGGGCUGGUGUCUCCUUAAAAUGGUGAUUUUAAAGGUGUAGUACCAUCUCCUCUGGUUCAUGGUGGAACACGAUUAUUCACCCUGUAGGGGGUUGGGGAAAUAUUGCCUUGGGGGUAUUACCCCCAAUGACAAUAUUAAUACAUAAACUUUUUUUUUAAUUCUCCUAUCCCUCAGUUCUUCCCUUCCCCCUCUCCCACUUCCAUCCACAGUCUCUUGCUAUGUAGUGUAUGUCUAAACGACACAUCUAGCAUCAUAAAAAUUAGCGUUUUGCUACUCUGGCAUCUACCUAAAGCUGGAUGCCUGCCCCCCAGUCCUAUCCCGUAGCUUUGAAAUGGACCAUCGUUACCCCCCAGAUGAUGUGGAAAUUCCUUUUCUUUGAGCCCGUGUAGGCAGGCGAACCAGGAGGCUGCUUAAUUAGCAAUGGCUGCUGAGAAGACCGAGUUGCAACAUGCUGCUGUUUCCCCGUUUGGCUGUGACUAAAUCUGGAUGGAUGUCCAACGGACAGCUCAGACAAGCCAGGAGGUAGGGAAGCGAUUCGCCAGAGUGUCUCACUGAUUGCUGGCUACCGAAUUUCCUUCCUCCUAACUCCAAGAAGACUUAGUUACAGACUUUGCUGGAAGGUUCCUAUUUCCAUAUCUUUUAAACAAAUACUUGGAGAUGGAAAGAGGAGUUGAUGAGAGAAGUCUGGGAAAUGUCAGAAAGAGCAUCAGUACACUGGAUUUGUAGUGACUGCCAUAUCCCCAAAGUCCCACUCAAAACCCCCCAAUCCAAGGCAGGUCCCAAAUGCACAUCAUACUUCCUUUGGUCCACUUAUACUCUCCUCCUUCAUCCCUGUAGCCAUGUGACUCAUCAAAUGCAUGGGUUGGUUUAAAAAAGCCACACCUUAAUGGUGGGUUAGGGAUUUAUGAUUUUUUAAGGAAUGUCAAGAACCAAGUAUGUUUCCAUUUAAAAAAAAAAUGUAAAAAGAAAUUAAAAAACAAUAACAACAACAAAAAUGUGGUGGUAUGGAAGCAGAUAUGGACCCUGUAGCUGAAACAAAACCCUUCAAGAAUAGAGGUAGUCCCCUGUGAUUCAACAGAGAUCACCCCCUCCUUUUCCUUAGGGCUUCCUGAAACCUGAGCACACUGGAGGAAAGUCAAUUAUUUGAAGAUCAAGGCCGAAUAUGGAUGAGCAAUUCUAGAAUGACCCGAAAAUUAUAAAGGGGGUCAGCCUGACAGUUGCCAUCAAAACCCCUCCUUGGUGGGACUCGGUGCCUGUAGCUUGCCAUCCUUUAUGCCCUAGCCCUGCCAGGAAGGCUGGGGAGCCCAACUCCAUCGGGAUGGAACGAGGAGCUGAUCUAGCAACAUGGCUUGCUAAACAAAACUA